GGAGCCCUACGGGAGGCAGCAGUGGGGAAUAUUGGGCAACGGGCGAAAGCCUGAUGCAGCAACGCCGCGUGAAGGAAGAAGGCCUUCGGGUCGUAAACUUCUGUCCUUGGGGAAGAAGAACUGACGGUACCCAAGGAGGAAGCCCCGGCUAACUACGUGCCAGCAGCCGCGGUAAUACGUAGGGGGCAAGCGUUAUCCGGAAUUAUUGGGCGUAAAGAGUACGUAGGCGGCAACCUAAGCGCAGGGUUUAAGGCAAUGGCUCAACCAUUGUUCGCCCUGCGAACUGGGAUGCUUGAGUGCAGGAG
rnacentral:rRNA from 1 species